rnacentral:rRNA from 1 species
CCUACGGGCGGCAGCAGUGGGGAAUAUUGGGCAAUGGGCGCAAGCCUGACCCAGCAACGCCGCGUGAAGGAAGAAGGCUUUCGGGUUGUAAACCUCUUUUAUCAGGGACGAAGCAAGUGACGGUACCUGAUGAAUAAGCCACGGCUAACUACGUGCCAGCAGCCGCGGUAAUACGUAGGGGGCAAGCGUUAUCCGGAUUUACUGGGUGUAAAGGGCGUGUAGGCGGGAAAGCAAGUCAGAUGUGAAAACCAGGGGCUCAACCUGUGGGCUGCCAUUGAAACUGUUGUUCUUGAGUACUGGAGAGGCAGACGGAAUUCCUAGUGUAGCGGUGAAAUGCGUAGAUAUUAGGAGGAACACCAGUGGCGAAGGCGGUCUACUGGACAGCAACUGACGCUGAGGCGCGAAAGCGUGGGGAGCAAACAGGAUUAGAUACCCGUGUAGUC